GGGGCAGGCACGAGACCAGAGGCGAUUGGUUGAACCUCCGACUUCCUGGUAACUACUUCAUCCGUGAUCUCUCCUAAUCUCCAGAUACAUAUGACCAACCUCAGGCAUAAAGCAAGCAUCUUACCUUAAUUCGUCCAGAAGGUAACCUGAGACACUCCCUCAGCUAUCCUGUAUUCUCAACUUAUAGCCAACAAUGGUAUAGACAAAGGCUGCUCUCUCAGUCUGAGACCCUGAGAAAACAUGGAACACAACUACAGUCCAGCCCUGCACAUCUAGUAUGCAGAGAACUGGGAUCAAGCAUGGAUUGAAGACAUUGAGCUGAGAGAAAAAGGAAGAAAGAAGAAAUAGGUGAAGUUACAUAAAGGUGGUCGUAGGAAAGUCAAGGUUGAUAGAACUCACAAACAUGAGCUUCGUCUCCUAGGUUGACCUGGGUUGACCUUCAGAGCCGAUAGUGUAGAAAAAGAGCCAGAACUGUUACCUUAUUGUUGCUCUUUGUACACCUGAGAGCCACGGGAUCCUAGGAUGCUGCCCUGAUAUUCGGGCAUGGUUGGCCCCAAGGAAAGAUGAUUGAGCGUCAUGUGGAGUUGGUCAUUAAGUAGCCCAGCUGGCAGCAUCAUCAAAGGACACUUUAUGAGACCCCACACAGGCUGGAAGAAAAGCAACAGGCAGAAGAUGGAAAAAACAGACCGGGUUUAUGAGAGCAGCUUGGAGCCCAUGCCACACUUACGAUUUGGGUUUUCAUCAGGCAAAGAAUCUAGCCAUUUGGAUUUUCUUUCUCUUCAAUAGUCCCUGGAAAAAAUGUCCUGCAUGCUAAUAUGACUUUUCUACUCUAGGAUCACUGUCAUGGGAUCUUCAAAAACCAGGAGGUCUGUGAUUUUCAGUCAUGGAAACUAGGAACAAGACUAGACAGUCCUCAAAAUAAUAUAAAAUAAAGGCAAGAGAAAUUAGAUCCCAAUAAAAGCUGUACCC